GCUGGCGUGGUGUAGUUGGUUAUCACGUUCGCCUCACACGUUGAACGCGAAAGGUCCUGGAUUCGAGCUCCAGCGCUAGUA